CCUGGAUUUGGGCAAAGAGAAUUGUCAAAGAAGGUGAUUUGGAGAAGGGAUCUCACUAUUACUCGCUAAACUGUUACAUGACACUAAAAAAUGGUACACUUCAUAAGUUAAUUUUCAUAAUCUUUCAUUUCUUCAUAGCUUACUCAUAUAGUCAUAUGGUAGAUCAACUUAAUUUUGAAGCAGAUGUUGUGAAUAGGUUACAUGGGACAAUGAUUUCUUAAUUAUGCUACAUGUUCGUAUUUGUUUUCUACAGAUCCACCUACUGAAGCAUUUUUUGCUGAUGGGAUUAUGUGCUUUGAGUAAUGAAUGCUGAUGAAACUCCCCCGUGUAUUCUUGAAGUUAAGUGUCACGUUCAGCAAUUCUGACCGGCAAAUGCAUCAUUUUUCUUAUAUUUAUUCACAGUUUAUAUAUCCGGCAAGUGCUCGUCUCGGUGGCCAUGUAUUAGCUAAAUAUAAGUUUCUCCUUUUGAGAAAAUGAAAGCCUAAUGGAGUAGUUCCUUCAGUAGAAACAGACAAGCCUCUGAAUACUUUAGCAACAUAAUUGGAUCGUACCAUGAGACGGUGGAAUAUAAAGGGCUAUGAAGGCAGACCAAGAGAUCAUUGUUGUGUCGUUGUCUGCCUCAGUUACAUCGAGCUUUACUUCCAGAAGGAGAAAAGUCACUCUCCAACUUAAAUAGAUACUGAGAUUUUACAGGAGAUGAUACUCGGCUCUUUGAUCACAUAUCCUGGUAUUUUUGAUCCUUCAGGUCAUACAAAUGGUAGGAUCAUGACUUCCCCGGUGGCUUGAAGAAGAUUGAUGGGUUGCUAUAUUUUGUUUCUCUUCUUCAUUUUAAGUUUAAGAAUGUGUGCACCUAAAGGAUUGCUUAGGUCACUACCAAUAGUUUAUUUUUAUUCUAUGCAUCUUAAGUAUACUCCUAGAAAGAAAUUGUACAAAUUUAGUCAUUCCGCAUGACCAACAAAUGUCCCGCAUUUUUACGUUGCCAUAUCUUUAGCUCUUCUUCUAUUAGUUUGUUUUAUGUACCAAUAUUUCUAAACCAUUAAAUGGACGGAUGUAAAACUACAAGCUUUUGGUAUCCUAUAAUUUUUAGGAUAGUUUACAGGAUAAAGAGUGAACACAAUUUUUUUGCAGGAUAAAAAGUUCAUAUUGAUUAGAUUUUCAGUUGAACAUUGCUGUCGAAUGCUGAUCGAAGGUUGUUGAUUUCAAUGUUCGACUAAGCUUGUUUAUGUUAUUCACUUUCUCCUUAUUUCUGCAGUAAUUACCUACAGCGAACACGACAGAUUGAUUGCGAGGAGCUGGUGCUCCUUCAUCUACUCCGCUCAGCCAGGAGAUGUCAUCGAGAUGUCUUGAGCCAAUUAUGUACAGUGAGGAGAUGGUGGGACCUUGUGGUUGCAGCGGUGGAUCCCCUGGCACUGCGGUAUCCUCAGCCAGAGCAGGACGGCCUGCCAGCAACCCCGUCAUCACCAGCUUGUUCCUAGAUCUACAUUUUGAAGGAGUGGAAAAGAAGUAUGUUGAGGAUAAUAUAACCGUGAUAAUAUAUGUUGUCAAGAGUAAUACGGUUCUGAUGUCAUCUUGAAAUAAUAGCAGUCGAAGGGGACAAAGUUUCCUUGUGGCAAUUUUAUGUUUGUGGUGAGUUAAGAGUAUCCCAUCCUCGCAAAAAGGUCAACUCAUUGUUCUUCAAUACAUGCAAUGAACGGAUCUUGGCUACAGGAUUUGGCGAUGCAACUAUUAUGCUAUCUGACUUGUGAAAACUAUCAGGAAGCUUGCAUGCUUCCGAAAGAGUGUGUAUUUUCUUUAUUGUUACCUGUUUGGGGGCGAUGUCUUUCAGGUUGUGUGGAAUCCAAAUUUGGAGACUAUUAUAUUGCUUUCCAACUGAGGACAAAAGGGAGAUGAUAUGGGACUUUAGUGAGUAAGUUUAGUCAGAUAUUCUCCCAUAUUCUAUUUUAUGUUUACUUUUGUCAUCUCAUUAUCACUCCUGCAACAUUGUUUUUUACGGGUGAAUCAUUCCAAAUCGAAACAGUAAAUCGUGAAAUGAGAUUGAUCCAAAGCAACAGCUUUUGUGAUCUGUGUCUGUAAAUAGCUUCCUUAUCCCUGCUAAUGAUCUCACUAGGCUUAAAUUCUAAUUUUUUUAAUGUACGAGCUCGCUAAACUUAAGUUUUGAAAAUUAGCAUAGGUGAAACAACAUAAUAAGGUAGCACGCAAAUUGAUUUACCAACAUUUUUUCCUUUUUUCUCUGGCCAAGAAUAAUUUGGACGUUUUCUAAAUACCUUUUAGAUUAGAGCAUAAGUAGGAACUAGGAGUUUCCCAGCUUGCAUCUGAUCAUCUAAUUAGGAUGUAUCGAUAUGAGUGGUUAAGAUCAUGUUACCAUACCGAAACAAAAUAAACAUGAGGAAUAUAGCCCUCAUCAAUUGAAUUGAACCUUUCAUUCAGGUUUUAACUGCGUGUUUUGUAUGUUGACUUUCCCAGGAGAUUCCGUUCUGAAUUUCCUCACUGCUCUAUGGAUCUAUUGUUGUUGGACCUAAUGAUAUACAGUCAGCUACCUCACACCAUCAUUUAGCCUUUAUUGACUUGACAAGUUUGAUGUAAUAAAAUGGUGUGCCUAGCUAUCGAAUUAGAAAUUCCACCAUAUGAUGCAUCUUCCGGUUCUUCUAAAUAUCUAAAUUUGGUUGCCUAUAAUCAAUUUAAUACUCCCUCCAAUCAUAUUAAGUGUUGCUGAUUUAGUACAGAGUUGCGCUAAAUCAGCGACACUUAAUUUGGAUCGGAUGGGGUUCUAGAUAUAGUAUAUGCAGGUACUUUGUAUACUUAUGGAUUCUAGGAUCCCGCUUUCUAUGGGCGCA